GCUCAUGCCACUGCUGCCGCGUUCGUCGUAGUCGUCUGCUUCCACAGCUGGCUGCGUGGCCGCUAUAGUCAUUCCAGCGUAGAAUUUCACUUCUCUUCUGUCGUCGUAAUGGGGAGGCCGCGUUUACGGGGGGAUGAACUGAUGGAAUGAUCCUACUGCAGAGGAACCGGAAUUGUUGGGCAGAGGCGCCUCUUCCCAAAAACCAAAACAAGUGUGGACAGCAAAGAGGUGGUAUUUACAUAAAUGCCAACACAUGAUGAGCAUGACAACAUUAUUUGUACUCUCUCUCUCUCAACAAAUGUCAAUGUGAAAAUAAUAUAUUUUUCAGUGUUGAAUACCGACUGGCUGCGUGUACAUGCAUCUUGACGGCUACGAUUGUGGGUCCUUCCUUGUCGCCAAGGCCGUACGCCUCUGCCUUGACCACUUGGCCGAAUGCUCCUUCUCCCAGAGGCUUGCCGAGGACCAGUCUGAAAGAUUAAUGUCACUAUAGUCACAAUAUAAGGUAUUUUAAUCCGUGCGCGCCUCAGCGUACGGCACUGCUACGCUAUAACACUAUACACACCGCCAUCCCCGCACUCCCACGCACGCAAGAACGCUCGAUGAAACCGCGUAAGAAAAAUGACCAAGGCAGAAAUACAGAGUGCUAAUAUACAUAUGUAAAGCAGAACCUGUUUGUAUUAGCUCUGAGAUAAAUAAAAACAAAUAAAAAAAUCCGCUGACAGUAAUCUUAAGCGCUAGUUCUCAUUUCUUUCUCUUUCAAUUGUGUGAACAGACACACACACACACACACAAAAAGUGGGAUUACAGUAGACUCCCGUUAAUUCGACACUUGUGGGACCGUUUGUUUUACCAACGGUACCAAAAUGAACGAAUUCAAUUUUCUUUUUAGUUGCUUGACGCAAUCUGUAAUGUCUUUGUUUCGUGUCCUGAAACGCUACCGUCAACCGACAUGAGGCGAAGAGCGCUAUGUUUAAACAUAUG